rnacentral:rRNA from 1 species
AAUCCGGGGUUUCAAGGCCGAGAGCUGAUGACGAGUCGUCUUUUAGAUGACGAAGUGGUUGAUGCCAUGCUUCCAAGAAAAGCUUCUAAGCUUCAGGUAACCAGGAACCGUACCCCAAACCGACACAGGUGGUCGGGUAGAGAAUACCAAGGCGCUUGAGAGAACUCGGGUGAAGGAACUAGGCAAAAUGGCACCGUAACUUCGGGAGAAGGUGCGCCGGCUAGGGUGAAGGAUUUACUCCGUAAGCUCUGGCUGGUCGAAGAUACCAGGCCGCUGCGACUGUUUAUUAAAAACACAGCACUCUGCAAACACGAAAGUGGACGUAUAGGGUGUGACGCCUCCCCGGUGCCGGAAGGUUAAUUGAUGGGGUUAGCGCAAGCGAAGCUCUUGAUCGAAGCCCCGGUAAACGGCGGCCGUAACCAUAACGGUCCUAAGGUAGCGAAAUUCCUUGUCGGGUAAGUUCCGACCUGCACGAAUGGCGUAACGAUGGCGGCGCUGUCUCCACCCGAGACUCAGUGAAAUUGAAAUCGCUGUGAAGAUGCAGUGUAUCCGCGGCUAGACGGAAAGACCCCGUGAACCUUUACUGUAGCUUUGCACUGGACUUUGAGCCUGCUUGUGUAGGAUAGGUGGGAGGCUUUGAAGCGUGGACGCCAGUUCGCGUGGAGCCAUCCUUGAAAUACCACCCUGGCAUGCUUGAGGUUCUAACUCUGGUCCGUAAUCCGGAUCGAGGACAGUGUAUGGUGGGCAGUUUGACUGGGGCGGUCUCCUCCUAAAGAGUAACGGAGGAGUACGAAGGUGCGCUCAGACCGGUCGGAAAUCGGUCGCAGAGUAUAAAGGCAAAAGCGCGCUUGACUGCGAGACAGACACGUCGAGCAGGUACGAAAGUAGGUCUUAGUGAUCCGGUGGUUCUGUAUGGAAGGGCCAUCGCUCAACGGAUAAAAGGUACUCCGGGGAUAACAGGCUGAUACCGCCCAAGAGUUCAUAUCGACGGCGGUGUUUGGCACCUCGAUGUCGGCUCAUCACAUCCUGGGGCUGAAGCCGGUCCCAAGGGUAUGGCUGUUCGCCAUUUAAAGUGGUACGCGAGCUGGGUUUAGAACGUCGUGAGACAGUUCGGUCCCUAUCUGCCGUGGACGUUUGAGAUUUGAGAGGGGCUGCUCCUAGUACGAGAGGACCGGAGUGGACGAACCUCUGGUGUUCCGGUUGUCACGCCAGUGGCAUUGCCGGGUAGCUAUGUUCGGAAAAGAUAACCGCUGAAAGCAUCUAAGCGGGAAACUUGCCUCAAGAUGAGAUCUCACUGGGAACUUGAUUCCCCUGAAGGGCCGUCGAAGACUACGACGUUGAUAGGCUGGGUGUGUAAGCGUUGUGAGGCGUUGAGCUAACCAGUACUAAUUGCCCGU